CCACCUUCCCCCGCACCGCGUCCCCCUGCAGCACCCCACGGCACCGAGUGUCGCCGCCCCACGGCGCCAGGUCCCCCGAGGGCAGCCCCACGGCCCUGGGGCGCCUGCGCCGCACCCUCACCUUCGAGGAGGAGCCGGA